GACGAACGCUGGCGGCGUGCUUAACACAUGCAAGUCGAACGGAAAGGCCCUGCUUUUGUGGGGUGCUCGAGUGGCGAACGGGUGAGUAACACGUGAGUAACCUGCCCUUGACUUUGGGAUAACUUCAGGAAACUGGGGCUAAUACCGGAUAGGAGCUCCUGCUGCAUGGUGGGGGUUGGAAAGUUUCGGCGGUUGGGGAUGGACUCGCGGCUUAUCAGCUUGUUGGUGGGGUAGUGGCUUACCAAGGCUUUGACGGGUAGCCGGCCUGAGAGGGUGACCGGCCACAUUGGGACUGAGAUACGGCCGAGACUCCUACGGGAGGCAGCAGUGGGGAAUAUUGCAGAAUGGGCGGAAGCGUGAUGCAGCAACGCCGCGUGCGGGAUGACGGCCUUCGGGUUGUAAACCGCUUUCGCCUGUGACGAAGCGUGAGUGACGGUAAUGGGUAAAGAAGCACCGGCUAACUACGUG
rnacentral:rRNA from 1 species